ensembl:lncRNA
UGUCUGUAGUAAUAAAUAGAGCCUGAAGCGCUGUGGGGGUCUUUUUGGGGGGGGGUUUUGGGGGGUUUGGGGGGGAAAUGGGGGUUUGGGGUGGAAAUUGGGGGGUAUGGGGGUUUGGAGGGGAUUUUGGGGUGGUUUUGGGGUGGAAAAUGGGUGGGUUGUGGGGGGUUUUGGGGUAGAAAUUGGGGUUUGGGGGAUUUUUGGGUGGGAAAUGGGGGGUUCGGGGGAGGUUUUGGGGUGAAAAAUGGGGGUUUGGGGUGGAAAUUGGGGGGUUUGAGGGUUUAGAGGGGAUUUUGGGGUGGUUUUGGGGUGGAAAAUGGGGAUUUUGGGGUAGGAAAAUGGCGGUUUGGGGGGGUUUUGGGGUGGAAAAUGGGGGCUGUGGGGGUUUGGAGGGGAUUUUGGGGUGGUUUUGGGGUGAAAAAUGGGGGGGUUGGGGGUUUGGGGGGGAUUUUGGGGUGGAAAAUGGGGGGGUUGAGGGUUUGGAAGGGAUUUUGGGGUGGUUUUGGGGUGGAAAAUGGGGGGGUUGGGGAGAUUUUGGGGUGGAAAAUGGGGGUUUGGGGUAGAAAAAUGGGGGAGUUGGGGGUUUGGAGGGGAUUUUGGGGUGGAAAAGGGGGGUUUGGGGUGGAAAUUGGGGGCUAUGGGGGUUUGGAGGGGAUUUUGGGGUGGUUUUGGGGUGGAAAAUGGGUGGGUUGUGGGGGGUUUUGUGGUAGAAAUUGGGGUUUGGGGGAUUUUUGGGUGGGAAAUGGGGGGUUCGGGGGAGGUUUUGGGGUGAAAAAUGGGGGUUUGGGGUGGAAAUUGGGGGGUUUGAGGGUUUAGAGGGGAUUUUGGGGUGGUUUUGGGGUGGAAAAUGGGGAUUCUGGGGUAGGAAAAUGGCGGUUUGGGGGGGGUUUGGGGUGGAAAAUGGGGGGGUUGAGGGUUUGGAAGGGAUUUUGGGGUGGUUUUGGGGUGGAAAAUGGGGGGGUUGGGGGGAUUUUGGGGUGGAAAAUGGGGGUUUGGGGUAGAAAAAUGGGGGGGUUGGGGGUUUGGAGGGGAUUUUGGGGUGGAAAAGGGGGGUUUGGGGUGGAAAUUGGGGGGGUUGAGGGGUUUAGAGGGGAUUUUGGGGUGGUUUUGGGGUGGAAAAUGGGGAUUCUGGGGUAGGAAAAUGGCGGUUUGGGGGGGUUUUGGGGUGGAAAAUGGGGGCUGUGGGGGUUUGGAGGGGAUUUUGGGGUGGUUUUGGGGUGGAAAAUGGGGCUUUUGAGGGGAUUUUGGGGUGAAAAAUGGGGGUUUGGGGAGUUUUUGAGGGGAUGGGGGGUGAAAAAUGGGGGUUUAGAGGGGAUUUUGGGGUGAAAAAUGGGGGUUUGAGGCAUUAAAACAGUGGGUUCGGUGAACAAAAACCACCACUUUUCAGACUCAGAAAUGGGUGAAGAAAAGGCAAUUUGGGGUCAAUGUGAAAUUGAGAAUAGAAGUUUUAAUUUAAGUUAAAUCCGGAGUUCAUUCCGGGGCAGAAAACCCUCAAAAUGACCCCCAAAAUACCCCCAAAAUCCUCAGGUUUGGGGUUGGGGGGAGGGGGGGGGGGAGGAUAUAGGGGAUAUAUUGGGGUGGGGGGCACAGAAUUGAGACCCCCCCCAACCCCAUAAUGGGGUUGAAUGGGGCGGCUCCAACCCAAGCGGUUCUCAUGGCUGCCCCCAACCGGGUGGGGGGACUUUGGGGGGGGAAAACACCCCAAAAGUGCCCAAUUUUGGGGUUUUUUGACCCAUUUUGGCCAAUGAAAGAUGGGAGACCCAACUGGUGGUGAUUUGGGGGGAAAACGCACCUCAAAAGUGCCCAAAUUUGGGGUUUUUGGACCCAUUUUGGCCAAUGAAAGAUGGGAGACCCAACUGGUGGUGAUUUGGGGGGAAAACACACCUCAAAAGUGCCCCAAUUUGGGGUUUUUGGACCCAUUUUGGCCAAUGAAAGAUGGUAGAGCCAACCAGUUGUGUUGGGAGAUCCAAUGUGUGGGGUUUGGGGGGAAAACACACCUCGAAAGUGCCCAAUUUUGGGGUUUUUUGACCCAUUUUGGCCAAUGAAAGAUGGUAGACCCAACUGGUGGUGUUGGGAGAUCCAAUGUUUGGGGUUUGGGGGGGAAAACACCCCAAAAGUGCCCAAAUUUGGGGUUUUUUGACCCAUUUUGGGCAAUGAAAGAUGGUAGAGCCAACUGGUGGUGUUGGGAGAUCCAAUGUGUGGGGUUUGGGGGGGAAAACACCCCAAAAGUGCCCAAUUUGGGGUUUUUUUGACCUAUUUUGGCCAACGGGAAGUAGGGAGACCCAACUGGUGGUGAUUUGGGGGGAAAACACACCUCAAAAGUGCCCAAUUUUGGGGUUUUUGGACCCAUUUUGGCCAACGGGAAGAAGGGAGACCCAACUGGUGGUGUUUGGGGGGAAAACACCCCUCAAAAGUGCCCAAAUUUGGGGUUUUUGGACCCAUUUUGGCCAAUGAAAGAUGGUAGACCCAUCCGGUUGUGUUGGGAGAUCCAAUGUUUGGGGUUUGGGGGGAAAACACACCCCAAAAGUGCCCAAAUUUGGGGUUUUUGGACCCAUUUUGGCCAACGGGAAGAUGGGAGACCCAACUGGUAGUGAUUUGGGGGGAAAAGAUACCCCAAAAGUGCCUAAACUUGGGGUUUUUGGACCCAUUUUGGCCAAUGAAAGAUGGUAGACCCAUCCGGUUGUGUUGGGAGAUCCAAUGUUUGGGGUUUGGGGGGAAAACACACCCCAAAAGUGCCCAAAUUUGGGGUUUUUGGACCCAUUUUGGCCAACGGGAAGAAGGGAGACCCAACUGGUAGUCAUGUGGGGGGAAAACACACCGCAAAAGUGCCCAAUUUUGGGGUUUUUGGACCCAUUUUGGCCAAUGAAAGAUGGGAGACCCAACCGGUGGUGAUUUGGGGGGAAAACAUACCUCAAAAGUGCCUAAAUUUGGGGUUUUUGGACCCAUUUUGGCCAAUGAAAGAUGGGAGACCCAACCGGUGGUGUUGGGAGAUCCAAUGUGUGGGGUUUGGGGGGGAAAACACCUCAAAAGUGCCAAAUUUGGGGUUUUUUGACACAUUUUGGCCAACGGGAAGAAGGGAGACCCAACUGGUGGUGUUUGGGGGGAAAACACACCCCAAAAGUCCCCAAAUUUGGGGUUUUUGGACCCAUUUUGGCCAAUGAAAGAUGGUAGACCCAACUGGUGGUGUUGGAAACCCAACUGGUGGUGAUUUGGGAGGAAAACACACCCCAAAAGUGCCCAAUUUUGGGGUUUUUGGACCCAUUUUGGCCAACGGGAAGAAGGGAGACCCAACUGGUGGUGUUUGGGGGGAAAACACCCCUCAAAAGUGCCCAAAUUUGGGGUUUUUGGACCCAUUUUGGCCAAUGAAAGAUGGUAGACCCAUCCGGUUGUGUUGGGAGAUCCAAUGUUUGGGGUUUGGGGGGAAAACACAUCCUUAAAAGUGCCCAAAUUUAGGGCUUUUUGACCCAUUUUGGCCAACAAGAAGAUGGGAGACCCAACUGGUCGUGUUUGGGGGGAAAACACACCCCAAAAGUGCCCAAUUUUGGGAUUUUUUGACCCAUUUUGGCCAACGGGAAGAAAGUAGACCCAACUGGUGGUAUUUGGGGGGAAAACACACCUCAGAAGUGCCCAAAUUUGGGGUUUUUGGACUCAUUUUGGCCAAUUGGAAGUAGGGAGACCAAACUGGUGGUGUUGGGAGAUCCAAUGUGUGGGCUUUGGGGGGAAAACACACCUCAAAAGUGCCCAAAUUUGGGUUUUUUUGACCCAUUUUGGCCAACGAAAGAUGGGAGACCCAACUGGUGGUGAUUUGGGGGGAAAACACACCUCAAAAGUGCCCAAUUUUGGGGUUUUUGGACCCAUUUUGGCCAACGGGAAGAAGGGAGACCCAACUGGUGGUGUUUGGGGGGAAAACACCCCUCAAAAGUGCCCAAAUUUGGGGUUUUUGGACCCAUUUUGGCCAAUGAAAGAUGGUAGACCCAUCCGGUUGUGUUGGCAGAUCCAAUGUUUGGGGUUUGGGGGGAAAACACAUCCUUAAAAGUGCCCAAAUUUAGGGCUUUUUGACCCAUUUUGGCCAACAAGAAGAUGGGAGACCCAACUGGUCGUGUUUGGGGGGAAAACACACCCCAAAAGUGCCCUAUUUUGGGAUUUUUUGACCCAUUUUGGCCAACGGGAAGAAAGUAGACCCAACUGGUGGUAUUUGGGGGGAAAACACACCUCAGAAGUGCCCAAAUUUGGGGUUUUUGGACUCAUUUUGGCCAAUUGGAAGUAGGGAGACCAAACUGGUGGUGUUGGGAGAUCCAAUGUGUGGGCUUUGGGGGGAAAACACACCUCAAAAGUGCCCAAAUUUGGGGUUUUUUGACCCAUUUUGGCCAACGAAAGAUGGUAGACCCAACCGGUUGUGUUGGGAGAUCCAAUGUGUGGGGUUUGGGGGGGAAAACACCUCAAAAGUGCCCAAUUUGGGGUUUUUUUGACACAUUUUGGCCAACGGGAAGAAGGGAGACCCAACUGGUGGUAUUUGGGGGGAAAACACACCCCAAAAGUCCCCAAAUUUGGGGUUUUUUGACCCAUUUUGGCCAAUGAAAGAUGGUAGACCCAACUGGUGGUGUUGGAAACCCAACUGGUGGUGAUUUGGGAGGAAAACACACCCCAAAAGUGCCCAAUUUUGGGGUUUUUUGACCCAUUUUGGCCAACGGGAAGAAGGGAGAUCCAACUGGUGGUGUUUGGGGGGAAAACAAACCCCAAAAGUGCCCUAUUUUGGGUCUCUUCACCCCAUUUUGGUUAUGGAAAAGGCCAUGACACCCAACCGACACCAUUUUGGUGGCAAACACACCUCAAAAGCAACCAAUUUUGGGUCUUUUCACCCCAUUUUGGCCAACGGGAAGAAGGAAGACCCAACCGACAUCAUUUUGGUGGCAAACACACCUCAAAAGUGCCCAAAUUUGGGUUUUUUUGCCCCAUUUUGGCCACGGAAGAGACCACGACACCCAACCGACGUCGUUUUGGUGCCAAACCCACCCCAAAAGCCCCCAAUUUUGGCCUUUUUCACCCCAUUUUAGGCCUACCGGAACUCCAACACCGCCCGUAGAGCGUUGGCCAACCUUCCUCCCCCAUUGAGGGCACCGAGGGCCUCGUGUCCGUCUGUCCAUCCCUCCACCUGUCCAUCUGUCCAUCCAUCUGUCCAUUCAUCCAUCCAUGCAUCCAUCCCUCC